GGCGAGAUGGCCGAGUGGUCUAAGGCGCCAGACUAAGGACUAGGGUAUACAAAUACUCAGAUCUUCCUAUAUCAUAGGAAUCUGGUCCUCCGGGGCGUGGGUUCGAAUCCCACUCUCGUCA